rnacentral:misc_RNA from 1 species
GAUGAAGAACGCAGCGAAAUGCGAUAAGUAAUGUGAAUUGCAGAAUUCAGUGAAUCAUCGAAUCUUUGAACGCACAUUGCGCCCGCCAGUAUUCUGGCGAGCAUGCCUGUUCGAGCGUCAUUUCAACCAUCAAGCCCCAGGCUUGUGUUGGAGCCCUGCGGCUGCCGCAGCCUCCCAAAACCAGUGGCGGGCUCGCUAUCACACCGAGUGCAGUAGUUUACUCUUCGCUCAGGGCGUGUGGCGGGUGCUAGCCGUGAAACCCCCACCUUCUCAAGGUUGACCUCGGAUCAGGUAGGAAUACCCGCUGAACUUAAGCAUAUCAAUAAGCGGAGGA